AAUAUGCACACGUAAAGAGUAUAAAUAUACGUGUAUUAAAAGAGCUAUACACAUCUAUACUUGCAAUUGCAUAUCAAGCGAUACCCAAAGAGAUAAACUUAUACCAUGAAUGUGUUCUGUCAAAAAGUUAUUGUUGUCGUAUACAUGGCUGCGGUAUUAGUGGCCAGCUUAGUACAGGCCAGAUACGUCGAACCUGGAGAGAAAGAAGGUUAUGAAACUUAAACAAUUGAAAAGUUUGACAUUGGUGUAAAGACAGAAGUCUAUGAGAUAUAAUGGAAAAUGGUGAAAAUUGGUAGCCUUAGAAGACUAAAUUUUUUUUUAUCUUAUUUAAAAAAUAAAGCAUAUUUUUUAGAAAC